CUCUAGAGAAACUGCCCGUGAUAAGCGGGAGGAAGGUGUGGAUGACGUCAAGUCCUCAUGGCCCUUACGGGUUGGGCUACACACGUGCUACAAUGGCAGUGACAAUGGGUUAAUCCCAAAAAGCUGUCUCAGUUCGGAUUGGGGUCUGCAACUCGACCCCAUGAAGUUGGAAUCGCUAGUAAUCGCGUAACAGCAUGACGCGGUGAAUACGUUCCCGGGCCUU
rnacentral:rRNA from 1 species